rnacentral:rRNA from 1 species
GUCGAACGGAUGUAGCAAUACAUUAGUGGCGCACGGGUGAGUAACACGUGGGAACCUACCCUUUGGUACGGAAUAACUCAGGGAAACUUGGGCUAAUACCGUAUGACCUCUUCGGAGGAAAGAUUUAUCGCCAAAGGACGGGCCCGCGCCGGAUUAGCUAGUUGGUGAGGUAAUGGCUCACCAAGGCUCCGAUCCGUAGCUGGUCUGAGAGGAUGACCAGCCACACUGGGACUGAGACACGGCCCAGACUCCUACGGGAGGCAGCAGUGGGGAAUAUUGGACAAUGGGCGAAAGCCUGAUCCAGCCAUGCCGCGUGAGUGAUGAAGGCUCUAGGGUUGUAAAGCUCUUUCGCCGGGGAAGAUAAUGACGGUACCCGGAGAAGAAGCCUCGGCUAACUCCGUGCCAGCA